UGGUUUGAUUUAUUUGUAUUUUUAUCCACCCAGCCAAGAACAUUGAUCUGAAGCUGUAUCCUGCAAGUGCUGAGCCCAUCGUUGAGCUGUAGGAGGCCCUCAGCAACCACCAACCUCACAUGAGAAGGAAAGGGUAGCAUUUCCUGGAUGAUGAAAGCUGGGAAAAGUAGGGGAAAGGAGAAGGCAUGAGAAAUCCCUCGAAUCAUUUGAAGGAAGGAUUGCUCCUGCUCCGUUGAUACCCUUGGUCUACAAGUGUCUCCUAUGAGACCUUCACUGAACACCAGGCAAAGAACUGCAGUGGAAGUUUCAGCGUGCUCUGUCAGGGAUCACUUUACUGCUGUGUUUGGCGUUUGUGCAACUGCUUCGGGAACACUCCAUCCAGCUGUUGUACCCACAAUUGAAGAAGGAUGUUGAAAAACUGGAGAUUUUUCAGAGAAGAGCCACAAGAAUGACUGAAGGAUUGAAAACAUGCCUUACAGUGGAGCCCAUCUCCUUAGCUUACCAAACAGCAAGUCAAGAAAAGCUCAAGUCUGGUUUUCAAGUAUGCUAUAUAAGGAAGAGAAAUUCAGAAACAGAAGCUCCUUCGGGCAAUAGCCUAAUAAGAAUUGGUAGUCAGAAGUUGGAUGAGUUCAUACCGUAUAUGAGUCUUCAAAUUUUAACUACGGAAACCAUUCUUGGACCGAAAGUCAGGGCUGUGAUUUAUUCUGUCAUUGGCAGUAGAGAUUGGAUACUUUUUCCAUCAGUUACACUCUGGUUCAUGCAGGGUAUUCAUUCAGAGCAGCCUUGUUGCUGGCAUCCUUUCAGAAGUCAAACCUAGCUGACCAUGGCUGUCCUCUCUGGCUUUGUUAAUUUAUAAAUCAGAGUUCUCACUCCAAAUGUUCAUAACAGAUACACAAAAUCCUUCGGAUAC